AGGUAUCUGAGAACAAAAGGCGGUAACAAAAAGGAUGGAUUUGAUUUGGAUCUCACCUAUGUCACAGGCACUCUACAGAAAUCCCAUAAAAGAAGCUGCCAUAUUUCUGGACACAAAGCAUCCCGAUCAUUACAGAGUUUACAAUCUCUGCAGUCAAAAAGGCUACGAUCCACUGUUCUUCCAUUACAGAGUGCAACGAGUGAUGAUUGACGACCAUAACGUACCGUCAUUAGACCAACCCACUCGUUAGGACUCCCCCUAUCACUAGUAAUGCCCCAACACACCAGGAGGAUGAAGACUAGCGCACUCUUUCUCCGAUACAUGUGAAGUCAGCCACCGCUUUUUUUCGAGCUGCUGCUGAUGCAGCAUUGCCAAGCAGCCAGCACAUUUGGAGGAAAGCGCAGCGGCAGGUGAACCCGAGGAACCUGAGGAAAGUGGUGGGAAAUCUCGAGCCAGGUCAGACCUUGGGUUGGGUUUGGGCAGAGAACCUAAGCUCUUAUUCACAUAUUGAACUUUGUGUUAUUGUGUUCUCAGUGACAUGUUGAACUACACUGCCAGUUUGAGGGAAUAUCAUUGCCAUCCACUGCAAAGGAGGCAAAGGUGUGGGAAAGGGCAAUGGCAGUGAUCUGAAGGUGCGGAUCAUAGUGAAAAGAGAGCAGGUGUUCCAGUGUGUCUGUGCCACGCAGACGAACUGUAGGCUGUUCCCAGAUACUGAAAACAAUGCCGUGGUGAUCAGCUUUCAGGAAGGGCCAGUGGUUUGUGGUGAUGUUAAGGUCAUGUUUGAAUCCAGGGCUGUAAGUUCCCAAUCUAUUGUAACGUAAGAAUGAUUUUAUGGACAUCGUUUUUUUCCAGUUGUUUUCCAUACCUUUUAUGAUACACUCACAUUUCAGUGCUUGGUUUGACUCUGUUUUUUUUUUUUUUUUUCCUAAUGUUUUCUUAAGCCUUCACAUCAGUGUAUCAGCACUGGCAUUCAGAGCCCCUUAUUCACCAUCGUACUCCAUUGGACAUUUCAGGGACAACAGCCUUUUUUGCCCAAUUAUAAACACUCUUCUUGUAAAAGUUAUCCAGACAUAGGUAAAAAAAAAAAAAAAAAAAAAAAAAACCAACAGUUGAACUACAAAGUAUUGAAAGACUAGGAUACUAAAAGCCAGUAAUGUUAGCCCUGCUUUAUUUGUCUCACUAUCUUUAUAUAUCAGUUGCUUUAAACAUUAUAAUGUUAAGCAUAAUUUUAUUUAUAAAUUUAAAUAGAACAAAACAUAAAUGUUGUUUUAAUAAACGUUAGCAAUAAAUAAUCUCAAAAUAACACAUCUAAAAUACAGCAGACUAAUAGUUUAAACCAUUAAACCCAGCCUUUCAUUGAGCUGAGAGAAAAUUAAGUGUGCUGUUCAAUUUCCAACGUUAAGAAAUGGGUUAGACAAGCUAUACUAAUGUUCUCAUAUUUUACCAGCUGUUCCUAGAUACUGAAAACAAUGCCGUGGUGAUCAGCUUUCAGGAAGGGCCAGUGGUUUGUGGUGAUGUUAAGGUCAUGUUUGAAUCCAGGGCUGUAAGUUCCCAAUCUAUUGUAACGUAAGAAUGAUUUUAUGGACAUCGUUUUUUUCCAGUUGUUUGGCAAAAUGUUUUUUCUCUAUUGUUCUCUAUGCCCAGGGUCUUCCAAAGGGGUAUGAGGACUAUCCUUUCUAUUUCUGGUUCAACACUUCAUUUGUAGAGAACAACAGGUGAGGUUUUUGCUGUCCAUUGUCCUCAGAAGCAGACACUGGCUUUGUUUACCUACCAGACCACUCUGGUUUUAGAUUUUAUAUAUAAAAAUGCCAGGCCACUUAAUUCAUUAAUUAGAAUAUUUUGAUAUUUUGUCCCCUCUCAGUUUAGUAAACAUUACUGCUUUCAAUGUAAAAGGAUCUAUAAUGCUUUGGUCCCAAAACAGGCUCUAUCUGUCAAGGGAGGAACUGGACAACCCACGUAAGUCCAAAACCUGGGACAUCUACAAGGAGGACUUUGGUGUGACCGUGUCUUUCAGUGACCCUGCACUUAUGUAGCAGACGACACUUGCUUGUGUAUCUCAACUAAAACCCUUAAGCCCUGCACAAGGUCUAAAUCUUUGCUCUAAUGUAGGUUUUCACACACUUAUAAAAGGUGAGUGAUGUUUAGGGAUUGGAUUCGGGCAUAUAGUGCCCCUAAAGCUAUAGCUAUAGCUAUAUAACCUCAACUUUAUGUCCAUCCCCCAUCUUCACUGUAAGAGCUUUUUACUGAGCCGUGCAUACAUCACAAUAUUAUGCAUUUGUUUGUCAAAUGUUUUUUUGUCUUUAAAUGAAGACAAAUGUUUGUGUCAGUUUAGCAUAUUAUGCUUCCAAAAUGUAAAUCUUACUCUUUAAGCUUGAGUGUACAUCAAAUAAAGCAAUCGAGGCUGCCACUGUGAAAUGGUCAAUGGUUAUGUGUGCAGAAACAUUUUUUUGUAGUACACAUGUAUUGAAAUAAAUACUAAUGUCUCUGUAA